rnacentral:rRNA from 1 species
CAGCAGCCACGGUAAUACGAAGGGGGCUAGCGUUGCUCGGAAUUACUGGGCGUAAAGGGCGCGUAGGCGGACAGUUCAGUCGGGGGUGAAAGCCCGGGGCUCAACCUCGGAAUUGCCUUCGAUACUGGCUGUCUUGAGUAUGAGAGAGGUGUGUGGAACUCCGAGUGUAGAGGUGAAAUUCGUAGAUAUUCGGAAGAACACCAGUGGCGAAGGCGACACACUGGCUCAUUACUGACGCUGAGGCGCGAAAGCGUGGGGAGCAAACAGGAUUAGAUACCCGGGUAGUCCCUGUCUCUUAUAC